UGGAUGGACGAGUGGAUGAAUGAUGGGAAGGGAAGGUUGUUGCUGUCUCUGAACCAUUGAGAAGUCCCUUCAGCUCCCACAUGGAGCCUUCUGUUACAGGCUCAGUUCCCCUGUAGCAGCUGUGACACAGGUUUAUGACUCCUGGCUACCGUGACCUUCAAAGAUGUGCACUGUGCUUUGAUUCUUUUCCAGUCAACUCUAACUGGGCAGCACAUAAGGGAAAUUGGGGAACACAAUCUGCUCCGUUUAUAUGAAGCAGCAUGACACAAUUCUCCCAGUAGUUUGCCCACUUCUGGGUCCUUUGGUUCACAGUUUGGCUGCUGUGCACUGUGGCUCUCAUCUGCUACAGCCCCAUGCUUGUUAGAACACUGCUCAGUGUACAGAGGGUCAAGGUUGGACCUAGACUCUUGGUUAACUUGGCGCUGGAUUUUGAGACAGGGUCUUUCUUAUUAUCCCAGGCUGGCUCUAAUUCAUGAUUCUCCUGCCUCUUGUCCUGAGGGCUGGUGUUACAGGCACUGUCAUCCUGCCUGGCUGAAACCUAAGGCUGCAGCCACCAUUGCUCCUCUUAACCUUGCUCCUUCCCCCCCUUCCCAUUCCUUCCCCUCCCCUUGCCCUCCCCUUGCCCUCCCCUUCCUUCCUCUUCCGUUCUUCCCUCCUCUUCCUCCCCUCCUCUUCUCUACUCAUCUGCUGCUUCCUCUUUCUUCUUCUGACACAGGGAAUUCCUGUGGCCCGAGCCAUCUUAGAACUCACUUUGUACUUCUGACAGACGUUAAGCUCUUAGCUUUCCUCUCUCUACCUCCCAAGUGCUAGAUUACAGAUGUGCACCACCCUGCCUGCUUUAUAUGCAGCUGGGAUUGGCCCAGGGAAUUACUCAUACCUGAUGAGCGCGCUACAAAUGGAGCCAUACCUAGCCCUCUUUUUUGUUUUCCGAGACAGUCUCAUUCUGUUACUUAAACUAUCUUUGAACUCAUACCAAUCCUCCUGCCUCAGCCUCCUGAGUAUUCAGAUGAUGUCUGUGUGCCACUACCCACUGCUUCAGACUCAUCUGCAGUGUCGCAAGCACAGGCUUUACCCAGUAGAGUUUGCCUGUGGGUCACUAGACCAGCCCAGGCAGAGUGUGAGGAAAGACACUGGCCUUAAUGGGAAGGGUUGCCAAAACUGUGGUCGUGUUUUUCAAUCUGUCACACUUUCCUUUCUUAAGGAAGAGUCCGUCAUCUGUGGGACAGUUGUGAUCAAUGUCCUACUGCAAUAGCGAUCUAUCACGUGUUAGUGUCCAGCGUCCCUUCUGGCACAGUGGGUACCUAUGUCCUCUUGCACUGUAGUUGAGCUGACCCUUUCAGACUCAAGGGUGGCGUGUAGUCAGGAGCUUGGUUCCUGUCACUGUAGAGAUGGGCAGGAACAUAGGCACAUGACACUCAUAGGGAAAUAAAAGCUCUUUCCAUGGGAUGCCCAGCUCUCUGGGACAUGCCUGGGGUUGCUGGGGCUGAUCUUGGCAUCCACAGGAGAAAGGCCUGCCUGAGAAUGAGGUAGCCACAGCAGAGAGCACAGGGAUAGACAGAGCAGGGAGUGCUGGGAGUCUAGAUGUGUGCGCCACACAGGGGACAACACCUUGUGUUUGGAUUCAGCAUUUUGGAAAGCUCAUGGGAAAGUGAUGGUUUCAAAUAACCAGUCCUGGAAGAGGCUCCUACCUUGUCUUUGCGAGAGGAGAGGAAGGAAGUGAGGAGGGAGAGUAGAUGAAGGGAGGGAGGGGAGUGGGAGAAGGGAGGGUUCAGUUUGAGCUUAGGGGAAUCUUACAGCUUCUCACUGAAAUCUUACUACUAGAACCCACAUUACUAGGCAGCUGAUAAUGUAGUUCAGAAAUGUCUUCCUCAGUGGCUUUAGGUAACCAGUUGUGCCUUUCUGAUAGCUCAGCCUUUUUAGAUGAAGGAUAAGUCAUAGAGAACAUGGGCUAUCAUGGCGCUCGGGCUUUGAAAAAGACUUUGCACAGAACAUUCAGGAAGCCGCACAUGCCUUUUGUGUUACAGCUUCUAGGAUGUGUGCACCAUGUGUGGAGAGUUAGAAUGUUACAGGUCCGAAGCGAAAUUAUAGCGGGCUAUUUUAGUCUUUUGAAUAUCAUCUUCUGAAUAUCAUCUUCUGGAUACUGUAUAAUAAAUGGUUGCAACUAAUACUCAAAACAAUUUAAUGGAAGUACUUUUAAAAGGUCUAUCUUGGCAACCCUAUUGAGAUCUACCUCAGUUUUCUUCAUAAACUCUCUGUAAAGUCAAGAACGUAACUCUCGCAGGACCUCCCUCUUCCCGGGGCUAGAAGAAUCUGUAGUAUUACAGGGAAUGGGGUCUGGUUGGUCCCUAACUCAAACCUAACGGGAGAGGAGAGGGAGUGGAAAAGAAGCAGAGGCACCCACCUCCAUCUUCACAGGAGGUGGUAUGGCGUGGCAAUGACUCUCUCAUGCCCUGUGCCUGCCUGAGGCCCCAGCUGACCACAUUUGAUUUUCCUGGGCUUAAGCUUAGAAAUCAGAUGAACCAGGGUGUCCAUCCAGGAAGCAGGGUUGGGCGUCACAGCCUGGAGUGGGUGGUGUGCGUGUGUGAUGGUCAUGUGGUUUCUUACAGAAACGUCUAGCUGGGCCAGUGAGCAGGCAGUGGUGCGUGGUUCACGUCUCCCGUGUUUACAACUGUACCGAGGUCCUCAAAUCAUCAUCGCUGUGACUCCACCCUGACCACUUCUCACUCCUCACACCCUGCUGGAGUGCUGGCCAGCCUCCUGCUGUGUAUUUGCUUGGCUCUGUCCUGUUUUGUUUUUUUUUCUGAAGUUUUAUUUAUUUUUGGCAUUUGAGUGUUUGGCGUAUGUGUUUAUGAGUCUGUGGCCUGUGGAGAUUAGAAGAGGGCGUCAGAUUCUUUGAAACUAGAGCUACAGAUGGUGUGAGCCACCCUGUGGGUGCUUGGAAUUGAGCCUGGGUCCUCUGCAAAGGCAACCAGUGUUCGCAAUCACCAAGCCAUCUCUCCAGCUCUUAUUUCAUUUUUAUAUUGUUUAAUUUGAACUCACAUUUAAAAUUUGAAGAAUGUGGGGCCAGUUAGAGGGCUCAGUGGGUAAAGGUGACUGCUGCCAAGCCUGACGAUCCCUGGGACCCACAUGAUCGCCUUUGGCCAGCCUGGAACUCAGCAAUCCACCUGCCUCUGCUGGGAUUAAAAGUGGACACCAGCACACUCAGCUCAAAAAGGUUCUAAAAACUGGAGGAUUUUGCAGGAAACCUCUACUUUUUGGUUUCUUCUUGGAAAAGAAAAAUCAGAGGGGCUCACUGACCUUCCUACCCCGAAUAAACAGUCUACAUCUGAACAGCCAUUGACUCUUCAGCUACUCCUUCUGGCUCCCAGCACACAUGCAUGUGUACCACAUAUGCUCAAGGAGGUCAGAAGAGGCAUCCUAUCCUCUGGAACUGGCAUUACAAGUGGCUGGGAGACAAACCUGAGUCCUCUGCAAGAUCAGCAAGUGCUCUUGACUUCUGAGCCCUCUCUCCGGUCUAUAUAAUUUUUUCUUAAAAAAAGUAUGGAGCAAUAUGCAGCUUCAGGAUAAUUCAUAAAUAAAAAAUUGUUUAUUAGUUUUUAAGCACAACAUUGUAUUGAUUAUUUGAGGAUUUCACAUAAUGCACCCAAUCACAUUC